AGGGCGCAAGGUGGAUGCCUUGGCUCACGGAGGCGAUGAAGGACGUGAUAAGCUGCGAUAAGCCUCGGGUAGAUGCAAAUGAUCUCUGAUCCGAGGAUUUCCGAAUGGGACAACCCGUCUGUCUGAAGGACAGUCACUAUCUUAAGAUAGAGCUAACGCAGGGAACUGAAACAUCUUAGUACCUGCAGGAAGAGAAAAUAAAUGAAUGAUUCCCCCAGUAGUGGCGAGCGAACGGGGAACAGCCCAAACCGCUGACGUCGCAAGGCGCCAGCGGGGUUGUAGGACCGCGAGAUUGUACUCAAAUGGUGAGUGGAAGUAUCUGGAAAGUUACAUCACAGAAGGUGAUAAUCCUGUACACGAAGCCAAAUCAGGCAUAGCGGUAUCCUGAGUAACGCGGGACACGAGGAAUCCUGCGCGAAUCUGCCGGGACCAUCCGGUAAGGCUAAAUACUCCCGUGAGACCGAUAGCGAACGAGUACUGUGAAGGAAAGGUGAAAAGAACCCCGAGCAGGGGAGUGAAAUAGUUCCUGAAACCAUGCGCCUACAAGCGGUCGGAGCAUCUUACGAUGUGACGGCGUGCCUUUUGCAUAAUGAUCCUACGAGUUACCGUCACUGGCGAGGUUGAGUGUCAUGAGACACGUAGCCGCAGUGAAAGCGAGCCUGAACAGGGCGCACAGUCAGUGGGGGUAGACGCGAAACCAAGUGAUCUACACUUGGCCAGGAUGAAGUCCCGGUAACACGGGAUGGAGGUCCGCACCAAUAAGCGUUGAAAAGCUUCUGGAUGAGCCGAGUGUAGGAGUGAAAGGCCAAUCAAACUUGGAGAUAGCUCGUACUCCCCGAAAGGCAUUUAGGUGCCGCGUCGGAUGGUCACCGUGAGAGGUAGAGCGACCGAUAGGACAAGAGGGCUUCACCGCCUAUCGAGUCCUGACGAACUCCGAAUGCUCACGGUCUGCAGUCCGGCAGUAAGGGGGCGGGUGCUAAGGUCCGUCCCCGAGAGGAGAAGAAUCCAGACCGCCGUCUAAGGUCCCGGAGUUCUGCCUGAGUUAGUCUAACGAAGUCUGGUCCCUAUGACAGCUAGGAUGUUGGCUUGGAAGCAGCCAUUCAUUCAAAGAGUGCGUAACAGCUCACUAGUCGAGGGUCCGGGCAUGGAUAAUAAUCGGGUAUAAGGCAGACACCGAAGGCGCGGGAUAGCAUUUUAAAAAGUAUCGGUAGGGGAGCAUACUCACAGCGUCGAAUGGUGUACGUAAGUUAUCCUGGAGCGGUGAGUAAAGCAAAUGUAGGAAUAAGUAACGAUAAGGAGGGUUAGAUUCCCUCCCGCUGUAAGACCAAGGUUUCCCGGGCAAUGCCAAUCAGCCCGGGGUCAGUCGGGUCCUAAGUCUAAGCCGAACGGCGAUGGCGAUGGCAGAGACGGUUAAUAUUCCGUCACUGCCGCAUGGGGCGACGUGGAGACGGAGCAGUGAAACCACCGCGGGGCGACGGAAGUCCCCGUUGAAGAGUGUAGGUGUUGAGGAUGGCAGGCAAAUCCACCAUCCGAGCUGAACUUGAUAGUAUGGAGUCUUCUCCGGAAGAAUCCAAUAGUGUGGGUAAUCAUACUCCCGAGAAAAUCCGCUAAGCUUAACCCAUGCGGCACCCGUACCGCAAACGGACACACGUGGUCGGGUAGAACAUACUAAGGCGUUGAGAGAUUCAUGGUUAAGGAACUAGGCAAACUGACCCCGUAACUUCGGGAUAAGGGGUCCUCACGUCGAGUGAGGCGCAGAGAAUAGGUCCAGGCAACUGUUUAACAAAAACACAGGGCUGUGCAAACUCGAAAGAUGAGGUAUACAGCCUGACACCUGCCCGGUGCCGGAAGGUUAAGAGGAGAUGUCAACCGCAAGGCGAAGCAUUGAAUUGAAGCCCCGGUAAACGGCGGCCGUAACUAUAACGGUCCUAAGGUAGCGAAAUUCCUUGUCGGGUAAGUUCCGACCUGCACGAAUGGUGUAAUGAUCCGGACACUGUCUCAACCGUGAGCCCAGUGAAAUUGUAGUAUCGGUGAAGAUGCCGAUUACCCGCGAUGGGACGAAAAGACCCCGUGAACCUUUACUACAGCUUAGCAUUGACCUUGGUCAUCCGAUGUGUAGGAUAGGCCGGAGGCUUCGAAGCGGUGUCGCCAGGCAUCGUGGAGCCAUCCUUGAAAUACGGCCCUUUGGCUGUCUGAGGUCUAACUCGCUUGUUGCGAGGACACUGUUUGGUGGGUAGUUUGACUGGGGUGGUCGCCUCCAAAAGCGUAACGGAGGCUUCCA
rnacentral:rRNA from 1 species